GCCGCCAUGCCCUUCCUAAAUCCUAAGUCAGGGAAAACAUGUGAGAACUUCAAAUUUAAAGUAGCAUAAACCAACAACAAUUCAAAUAUCAAAAACCAAACACAGGGGACGCAUAAAACCUAGCAACUUAGAAAAAGCACAAAGCAUCAUAAAACACAGCUGAAUUAAGAAUAUACAUGGCAAGUAGCAAAACUAGUGCAGAACAGAGAAUUUUGAAGCUCAUAAAACAUCACAAGGAGCAAGAAGAUUCCUUAGUAGCACUCUCAACAAAGGUCCCCACGGCUAGAAAAUAGCAAAAUAUUUCCAAAAAAGGAUAAUAUUUUCUAGGCAUAGGUUUAAACAGACAGUCGAGCGAGAUCCCAAAACUCAAGCUUUAUCCACGGUACACACUCUAAUUGUUCAUUAUCCUUGAAAUUGCUCGGACAAAGAGCAACAUUUACCUAAUCUCAAAACAAAAUAGUUACCAUUGCCUUCAUAUAAGUCUCGCAAAGCCAAAAGCCAACAAUAUUCUCUAGUAAUAUCUAAAGACACAACAACGAAUACCAGGGAGUUUCACCCAGAAAAGAACUCCAUUCCAUCAGAGAACAGCACAAAGUAAAAUACCCAAGAAGGAUUUAGGGGGAAAAACCAGCAAAACAUCAUAGAAAGGAAAAAGGUUAAUUCUAGUUCAAAGCUUCAUCCUUUCUCUAGAGGGAGACAGAAGGGGUGGGGGAACACAAGAACAACAACAAAGGGUAGCUUGAUCAGAGAUUUGAAAGCUCAAUUUGACGAUCCAAACUAACAAAGCACAAAAAAAUACAAUUUACAAACACGGAUAAACCCUAAUUGUAGUUGAAAACACGCCAAGUCAAGAGCAAAAAACACGCAUUAUUCCCAAAUCAAACUCCUAAAUCUAAAACAGAAAGACAAUAAUCGACAAAAACGGUACGGUUACAUGCAUCAAACGACAAAAAAAAUAAAAUGGAAACUGAAGAGAAAGCAGAUAUUUUAGAAGGGUAAAACUUAAAAAUUAAUAAA
rnacentral:misc_RNA from 1 species